rnacentral:rRNA from 1 species
AGAGUUUGAUCCUGGCUCAGGACGAACGCUGGCGGCGCGCCUAACACAUGCAAGUCGAACGGAGUUAUUUAAUCGGAAGUUUUCGGAUGGAAGAUUAAGUAGCUUAGUGGCGAACGGGUGAGUAACACGUGAAGAACCUGCCCUUCAGUGGGGGACAACAGUUGGAAACGACUGCUAAUACCGCAUAAGACCACAGUACCGCAUGGUACCGUGAUCAAAGGAUUUAUUCGCUGAAGGAUGGCUUCGCGCCCGAUUAGAUAGUUGGUGAGGUAAUGGCUCACCAAGUCAACGAUCGGUAGCCGGACUGAGAGGUUGAUCGGCCACAUUGGGACUGAGACACGGCCCAGACUCCUACGGGAGGCAGCAGUGGGGAAUAUUGCACAAUGGAGGAAACUCUGAUGCAGCGACGUCGCGUGAGGGAAGAAGGUCUUCGGAUUGUAAACCUCUGUCUUCAGGGACGAUAAUGACGGUACCUGAGGAGGAAGCACCGGCUAACUACGUGCCAGCAGCCGCGGUAAAACGUAGGGUGCAAGCGUUGUCCGGAAUUACUGGGUGUAAAGGGAGCGCAGGCGGACCUGUAAGUUGGGAGUGAAAUACAUGGGCUCAACCCAUGAACUGCUUUCAAAACUAUAGGUCUUGAGUGGUGCAGAGGUAGGCGGAAUUCCCGGUGUAGCGGUGGAAUGCGUAGAUAUCGGGAGGAACACCAGUGGUGAAGGCGGCCUACUGGGCACUAACUGACGCUGAGGCUCGAAAGCAUGGGUAGCAAACAGGAUUAGAUACCCCGGUAGU